rnacentral:lncRNA from 1 species
AUAGAAGAAAGAAAUUAAAUUAUUUUCUUCUUUAGUUUUAUUUAUUAUAUCAUUUUUACCCUAUUUUAGUUUUUAUACCCUUUUGUUUAUCCUUUGGAAAUAUCCGCUACAUUCUAUUUGGUAUGUUAAAUUUAAAUUUGCAAUUUAUUCAGGUAGUAAUUAGACAUAUGUUACUAUGAGGCAUAUGUGGUUAUCAUUGGACCAUAGAUUUUGAACUAUAAAAGACUUUAUAAGUUAAAGAUUUAUGUCCCCAACCCCAAUUUAGAGAUAAAGAAACUGAGACCAGAUAAAGUAAAUCUUUUGGCUGAAGUUACUCUGCUAGUAAGGGUCUGAGGCAGGAUUUGAACCCAGGUCUUACCAACUCCUACUCUAGUACAAAAUGGUGACUAUCACUACUUAGUUGUUAUUUGUUAAUUAAAUGGUUUUCAAUAUGGUACAAAUAAAGCCACAAGCAUCUGAACUCUGAUGAUUCUAGCAUCCUAGACAUCAUGCCUAGAAGGGAUGUUGAGCCAAAUUCCUCAUUCUGCAAGAGGACAUUGAAGGGAAGUGGUAGCUGAGACUGAAGCUAUGAUCUCUUCAUUCCCUGCCUAAGGCUCAAACCAAGACUCACCAGUCUUUUAGCCUGCAAGAUCUUUGAUGUGAAGCUGAUGGAAAAACCGAUAAGUGGAAUAUGAGGCAAUAUCCAACAAAUGGAAACAUGUCCUGGAGAGUUUCCACCUCCCUGCUUUAGUGAAUUGUUGGGUUGGUACAUAGAGGAGGGAGGAACCUCCACAAACAAUUCUCAAGACAAAGGCAGGAAGGCUGUAGUAAUUACUGAACACCAGAAACCAGAGAAUUGUCAAGUCCUCGAGAUGCAAGGAUGUCCUCAGAUGUCCCCUGGUCCAGCCGCCUCUGCAGUACUGAUGUCUUGGGCAACGCUCCAUCCAGUGGCCAUGUCAGCUCUGCUCGAAUGAUCCGAGAGCCCAUUUUAUUGUUGGUCAGUUAUGAACGCUGCCUCCUUUUCCAUAUGGGAAAUGUAUUUACAGAAAUGUAAAGGGCUCAUCCCUCC